rnacentral:rRNA from 1 species
GAGUUUGAUCAUGGCUCAGAACGUACGCUGGCGGCACGCCUAACACAUGCAAGUCGAACGAAGUAGCAAUACUUAGUGGCAGACGGGUGAGUAACAUGUAGGUAUCUACCCUUUGGCCUGGAAUAACACGAGGAAACUUGUGCUAAUACCGGAUAAGUCUUUACGGAGAAAGCUUUAUGCACCAUUGGAUGAGCCUGCACUUGAUUAGUUUGUUGGUGGGGUAAUGGCCUACCAAGACUGUGAUCAAUAGCUGAUUUGAGAGGAUGAUCAGCCACAUUGGGACUGAGACACGGCCCAAACUCCUACGGGAGGCAGCAGUGGGGAAUCUUGCACAAUGGAGGAAACUCUGAUGCAGCGAUGCCGCGUGAGUGAAGAAGGCCUUUGGGUUGUAAAGCUCUUUCGUCGGGGAAGAAAAUGACUGUACCCGAAUAAGAAGGUCCGGCUAACUUCGUGCCAGCAGCCGCGGUAAUACGAAGGGACCUAGCGUAGUUCGGAAUUACUGGGCUUAAAGAGUUCGUAGGUGGUUGAAAAAGUUAGUGGUGAAAUCCCAGAGCUUAACUCUGGAACUGCCAUUAAAACUUUUCAGCUAGAGUAUGAUAGAGGAAAGCAGAAUUUCUAGUGUAGAGGUGAAAUUCGUAGAUAUUAGAAAGAAUACCAAUUGCGAAGGCAGCUUUCUGGAUCAUUACUGACACUGAGGAACGAAAGCAUGGGUAGCGAAGAGGAUUAGAUACCCUCGUAGUCCAUGCCGUAAACGAUGUGUGUUAGACGUUGGAAAUUUAUUUUCAGUGUCGCAGGGAAACCGAUAAACACACCGCCUGGGGAGUACGACCGCAAGGUUAAAACUCAAAUGAAUUGACGGGGACCCGCACAAGUAGUGGAGCAUGUGGUUUAAUUCGAAGAUACGCGCAGAACCUUACCAACACUUGACAUGUUCGUCGCGACUCUAAGAGAUUAGAGUUUCCGGUUCGGCCGGACGAAACACAGGUGCUGCAUGGCUGUCGUCAGCUCGUGUCGUGAGAUGUUGGGUUAAGUCCCGCAACGAGCGCAACCCUCACUUUUAGUUGCCAUCAUUAAGUUGGGCACUCUGAAAGAACUGCCAGUGAUAAGCUGGAGGAAGGUGGGGAUGACGUCAAGUCCUCAUGGCCCUUACGUGUUGGGCUACACACGUGCUACAAUGGUAUCUACAACAGGAAGCAAGACUGCGAAGUUAAGCAAAUCCCUAAAAGAUACCUCAGUUCGGAUUGCACUCUGCAACUCGAGUGCAUGAAGCUGGAAUUACUAGUAAUCGUGGAUCAGCGUGCCACGGUGAAUGCGUUCCCGGGUCUUGUACACACCGCCCGUCACACCAUGGGAGUUGGUUCUACCUUAAGGCAAGGUUUCAAACCCUUGACCACGGUAUAGUCAGCGACUGGGGUGAAGUCGUAACAAGGUAACC